CUGAGUGCGGGCCCUUUGGGGUCCAACCUCCCACCCGUGUCUAUUGUACCUUGUUGCUUCGGCGGGCCUGCCGCCCGCGGCCGCCCGGAGGCAUCUGUCUCUGGGCGCGUGCCCGCCGAAGACCCCUCCGAACGCUGCCUGAAGGUUGCAGUCUGAGUGGCUUAGCAAAAUCGUUA
rnacentral:misc_RNA from 1 species